UACGUAGGGUGCGAGCGUUGUCCGGAAUUAUUGGGCGUAAAGAGCUCGUAGGCGGUUUGUUGCGUCUAUCGUGAAAACCUGCAGCUUAACUGUGGGCUUGCGGUGGAUACGGGCAGACUUGAGUUCGGUAGGGGAGACUGGAAUUCCUGGUGUAGCGGUGGAAUGCGCAGAUAUCAGGAGGAACACCGGUGGCGAAGGCGGGUCUCUGGGCCGAGAUUGACGCUGAGGAGCGAAAGCGUGGGGAGCGAACAGG
rnacentral:rRNA from 1 species